ACGAACGCUGGCGGCAUGCCUAACACAUGCAAGUCGAACGAGACCUUCGGGUCUAGUGGCGCACGGGUGCGUAACGCGUGGGAACCUGCCCUUAGGUUCGGAAUAACUCCUCGAAAGGGGUGCUAAUACCGGAUAAUGUCUUCGGACCAAAGAUUUAUCGCCUUUGGAUGGGCCCGCGUUGGAUUAGCUAGUUGGUAGGGUAAAAGCCUACCAAGGCGACGAUCCAUAGCUGGUCUGAGAGGAUGAUCAGCCACACUGGGACUGAGACACGGCCCAGACUCCUACGGGAGGCAGCAGUGGGGAAUAUUGGACAAUGGGCGAAAGCCUGAUCCAGCAAUGCCGCGUGAGUGAUGAAGGCCUUAGGGUUGUAAAGCUCUUUUACCCGGGAUGAUAAUGACAGUACCGGGAGAAUAAGCUCCGGCUAACUCCGUG
rnacentral:rRNA from 1 species